UUUCUGGUUUUGGCAACAAAUGAAGAGAUUUAUUUUAAAAGAAUCUAUUUUGGAGGAGGGGCAAAAAGAAAAAGCCCUCAACCAUAAGGCUCGGAGUCUCAUUAGAAGUGUCAGCUGUUAAGGUUCUCUGUCCUUAGAACUUUUCCAUGUUUUUAUUCUGAAGUUGUGGCUGUCACUUCCUCUGUUUUCCUGAGUGAUUCUUCUUUCUCUGUCCCCAACUCUACAAGCCUGUGGGGUGAUGAUGUCUCUCCCUGAAACACUGAGGUACUUCUGAACAAGAUGAGAGAGACCUGAGUCCGCUCAGGUCACAUGGGUGAGAAGGCCAAGCCUCUGCUCUCGCGUGACCUGGAUGACGUCUGUUCCCUGCUCAGGACACCACACAGACGCUGCUCCGAGCAGGCACGCUCCCUUCUCUCUUCAUCCAAGAAAGACCCAUUAGCCAGUGUCCGUGACAGAAAUCAAAGGAUUUAAGGCACAGAAAGUCAUCCUCAGAUAUAAUCUGCUUCCCAAGAUGCAAGUGGAUGCCCAACUGGGGCCCAGCUGCAAAACAGGUGACCAAAAGCAGAAUCCCACCCUCCCCCUCCCUCCUCCCCCUCCCUCCUCCCCCUCCCUCCUGCCCCACCCUUUGCUGCUUCCACGCAGUAUGAAAACCCCAUAGUUGUAGGCAUGUGCCAGCAAGGAACAGAUCUGUGCCAUCAGCCCCUCCCUCCUCUGAACUGGCCAGCCAGGUCACUACUCCAGGCUCCGUGGCGAGGCCCUCUAUGGCUUCCUACAGAUCUGGCCUCACCCAGUUUCAGUACCCACCAAAGGCGAGCCACAAGGGUACCCCAUACAUUACCAUCUGCUCAUCAUUAGACCCUGACACUCUGCUAAGCUAACUUCCCUGCAGGCCCCAAUGCUCAGUUUUCCAAGAGAAAGCAGUGCUCCCUAGGAAGGUAGUGGAACCCAUGUGGACUGGCUUCUCUGGUCUUUAAAAGUGCUCCAGUGGGCAUGCUGUCAAAGACAAGAUGUUUUCUAAAACAGAAGGCUGGGUCAGGAAGUCAACCAAUCUUCCUUAGAGGCAGCCACUCCAAAGGCCCUGGCAAAGUAGGAUGUUCUAGGAUGCUUAGCCCCUGGGAAGAGAGGAAAGUGAUGGCCACUGGGAACAAGAGCUCUGUGGACCCCACAGCCAACCUUGGGUGUUUUUUGCUCAUUUGCAGGGAGGGGUAGACAAAGAAGCAGGCUAGCCCUGUCUUCAGCACAACUGUACACUUUGGGUUUUGAAAUGACAAUUGCUAGGGUCAGCAUAAAUGUUACACAAUUCAAGUGACUCUCUACCAUGCAGUGUGGUCUCCAGAGAAAAGCCUACAGCCACCCUAACCCACAUAAACAGGUCAGCCCUAUCCUUCUGUGACUAGCCUCCUCUUUGCAAUCCGGAAAUUUUAAGGAAGGGAAAAGAUUGUGCCCAUGGUGUUCAGCAAACCCUGAAAGGGCAACUGCUGUGUAAAAUUCACCAACAAUAAGCCUGUUCCCACAGCUGGCUUUAAGGUUGCUCCCAGAGGGUUCCUGCAACCAGGAGCCUAGGGCAUACCUCCAAGUGAGCAAAUGUGGACUUCCUGUGAGCAGAACUGUGGCCCAUUGCUGAUGGAGGGAUGGGGUCCUGGAGGAAGCAACAGGACCUCAGGACUCUGAAGAAGGACACUGUCUCACCUAGGUGUUGGUGGCAUUGGGUACAACCCAGUCUUCAGGAGUACUCUGCUAACUUGGCAACUGUGCUCUCCAGACAGACCUAACCAGCAAGAACCUACUGGGUCUCUGUAGAACUGAGGGAUCUAAGGUCCAGUAGGUCCCACAGCUCCUGACCUGGAGGUCCCAGAGUCAGCCUCCAAAAUCAUUGCUCCCAUCUCCCAGGCCAUGCAUGCCACGUCUGCCCUGGUCUCCCUCCCUUCUUCAACUGCCCCAGGGCAGACUAGCAGAGCUGGCCUCUAACCCAUCACCUCAGCUUUGACCGUCACCAUGGCAACAUGCAGUGCUGCCUCCUCCCUGUUGAAGUCUUAGGCAGGUGGGACACUUCCCACAGGUCAGACUCAGUGUGGUGGUGAGCGCCCUCUAUGGUGGAAGUGGUGAAGAGGCUUCACCUGCUACUCUACCCACCAAACACUUGCAUUGGCAGGAGUAGGCUGGCUGCAUCCUAAGGAUGGCAUUGGCUUUCUCUGUGGCCUCUGACGUGCAGUUGUAAAUAAGGCAUGGGUAAACCAAGUCUGAUCUUUUGUAGAUGCAAUAAAUAUAUUUCACACAGUCACAAUGGGCAGAAGGUUAAAUGCUCCUUCCCUCCCUCAGAGCUGAAGCUGUGAGGAAAAAAGAGGGGGAGGGGGCAGAACUGGGAAGGUCUGGCCAGGGAAGUGCCUGCUUCUGCCAGCAGGACUCAUGCUUUGUGGGGACUGAACCUGAGGGGAGGAAUGGAAGCUAGAACUUUCUUGUAAUUUGAAACUUGGCAAUAAAAAGCAAAACC
rnacentral:lncRNA from 1 species